AUUGAACGCUGGCGGCAGGCCUAACACAUGCAAGUCGAGCGGAUGAAGGGAGCUUGCUCCUGGAUUCAGCGGCGGACGGGUGAGUAAUGCCUAGGAAUCUGCCUGGUAGUGGGGGAUAACGUCCGGAAACGGGCGCUAAUACCGCAUACGUCCUGAGGGAGAAAGUGGGGGAUCUUCGGACCUCACGCUAUCAGAUGAGCCUAGGUCGGAUUAGCUAGUUGGUGGGGUAAAGGCCUACCAAGGCGACGAUCCGUAACUGGUCUGAGAGGAUGAUCAGUCACACUGGAAAUGAGACACGGUCCAGACUCCUACGGGAGGCAGCAGUGGGGAAUAUUGGACAAUGGGCGAAAGCCUGAUCCAGCCAUGCCGCGUGUGUGAAGAAGGUCUUCGGAUUGUAAAGCACUUUAAGUUGGGAUGAAGGGCAGUAAGUUAAUACCUUGCUGUUUUGACGUUACCAACAGAAUAAGCACCGGCUAACUUCGUG
rnacentral:rRNA from 1 species